UGGGGUUAUCCUGCGCUUGGAAGAAGAACUAGGAAAAGGAAAAAAUAUAGCGAUAGUUUUAUUCUUCGUCGCCGUAAGUAA
rnacentral:rRNA from 1 species